rnacentral:lncRNA from 1 species
GUGGUCGUUCCAUGCAGUUUUGCACGUUAUGAAAUGUGCAGAGUUCGAAGUCUUGUUGGGAACCUUUCAUUUUUGUGACUUUUUUUUUAUUGGGCCGUCGGCCGUUUAAAACUUUAACCCUAAAGCCCAUUCCGAUUCGGGGCAGCUGAAGUGCUGAACUUUUGCCGACCGCCGCCGCCACGGCCGCACGGGCACCGCGUGCACGACGCCACGGCCAGUGGCCACAGCACACACUGCCACAGCCGCACGGCGGCACGGGCAAGCAGCAAGCUCUAUGCAUCCGCGCGCACGGCCAGUGCCACUGCCGCGCCGGCGGCCUGCCGGCGGCCACCUACUCGAUGCGGCGGCGUACAAAUGGCGGACUCGGCGUCUCGGCCUCGACGAUUCUUGCGGCGCUGCGGAGCAGGAGCAGCACGUUAGCACUUCGCCGUUCGCCGGCUCCGCGUCCUGGAGCGGGGCUCCGGCACUCCGGCACUCCGGCCUCCGGCGACCGCAAGCGAAGCGAUGCGACCUGAGGUGCGUUUUCUUCACUGCCUAAGCAUCGUUUGUCCCCGAAUCACUAUGGCUGCGAGUCACGUUCCAUAGGCGUUUGAUACUCGACGUUCCUCUUAUUGCUUCUGGAUUCAAUUCGCGUUCCAUCGCGAUUGGGAACGGCGUCCCGCAAUGUCCCCGUCCCGGGUUUCGGGACGAAGUUCCCGGAACAGGAACGUGCCCACGUUCCCGUACCCCGGCUGCUAAGGGCUGGUAGUUAUUUUUUCUGUUUAUUUUCUUCUUAAUUAACUCCUAGUUGGUUGUUAUGUUAGUUUUUUUAUUUCUUAUAUUUUUCCUUUUAUUUUUCAUUACUUAUUUUCUAUUCUAUAUUAUUUUACUCUACUCAAUUAUUUUAUUUUUCAUGUUCAUAUUUAUUUCUUAUUUUUCUAUAUAUUUAUUAUUUGUUAUUCAUGUUUUAUGUGCUUUUUUCUUAGCUAUUCUUCUCAUUUUUAUAUUAUUUUUUUUACUAUAAGUUAUUUUUAGUUUAGUUUUUUUAUUUUCUAUAAUCUAUGAAAUGCUAUGUUCAUAUAAUAUAGAUGUGAUAUUCUAUGAUAUUUUUUAUGAUGUUCACAUGAUAUAUAAUGUCAGGUUCUGUGAUAUUUUUUGUGAUGUUCAUGUAGUAUAUAUAUAUGUAAUAUUCUAUGAUAUUUUUUUGUGAUAUUCACGUGUUAUAAAUGAGAUGUUCUAGGAUAUUUUUAUGUCCACGGAGUAUAGAUGUGAUAUUCUAUAUGUAUUUUGUGAUGUUUGCGUACUAUAUAUGUGAUGUUCACAUAGUAUGUAAUGAUAUUCUAUGAUGUACUCUGUGAUGUUCAUAUAGUAUACAUGUGUUGUUCUAUUAUGUAUUAUGUGAUGUUCUAUUGUCUAUUUAGUGGUAUUUACUUAGUAUACAUGUGAUAUUUUGUAAUAUAUUUUAGGAUGUCUGAAAAGUACCUAUGUGAUAUGCUUUUAAAAUUUUUCUUAUGCUUUGCUCUAGAUUUCAAUAUUUUUUAAUUAUGUUGUGUAUUUGUUUAUUUACUUACUUAUCUUUAUGUAUACUGUAAUAUCAAUUUUAUUAAUCUAAACUUAGAACAUUCUACUUACCAAGAUGGAACAUUGUUUUUUGAAACUAGAACAUCGUCUCUGCUUAAUAAAAUAAAAUGUUCUAUUUUAAUAAGACAAAUAUUCAUUAUAUUUUUUUUAAAUAUAUUUAUGUGAGAUCUUGUUUUAAAGAAUUUAUUGCAAAAAAUUUAAUGGUAUUGUCAGAAUUUAAUUUGGAUAUUUAAUUUUAGAGGUAUGACUUUUUUUUAAGUUGGAUAAAACUUAUGUGUCAACUGUAGACGUGAUGGGGCCCUUAUCUGAGCAAAUUAGUUCUCGGGACCAUAUCGACCCGCACGCGCUGCCUGCUGGGAGGUUGGGAAGGAAAAGAUUCGGCUUUGAUGCGAAAAGAUUUUAGAUUUUGUUACUGUAGCAUUUUUGUUUGUUUGUGGUAAAUAUUGUCCAAUCAUGGUCUAACUAGGGUCAAAAGAUUCGUCUCGCGAUUUACAGUUAAACUGUUCAAUUAAUUUUUAUUUCCGUCUAUAUUUAAUGCUUCAUGCAUAUGCCGAAAUAUUAGAUGUUACAGGGAAUUU